rnacentral:rRNA from 1 species
GGCAGACGGGUGAGUAACAUGUGGGUAUCUACCCUUUGGCCUGGAAUAACACGAGGAAACUUGUGCUAAUACCGGAUAAGUCUUUACGGAGAAAGCUUUAUGCACCAUUGGAUGAGCCCGCACUUGAUUAGUUUGUUGGUAGGGUAAUGGCCUACCAAGACUAUGAUCAAUAGCUGAUUUGAGAGGAUGAUCAGCCACAUUGGGACUGAGACACGGCCCAAACUCCUACGGGAGGCAGCAGUGGGGAAUCUUGCACAAUGGAGGAAACUCUGAUGCAGCGAUGCCGCGUGAGUGAAGAAGGCCUUUGGGUUGUAAAGCUCUUUCGUCGGGGAAGAAAAUGACUGUACCCGAAUAAGAAGGUCCGGCUAACUUCGUGCCAGCAGCCGCGGUAAUACGAAGGGACCUAGCGUAGUUCGGAAUUACUGGGCUUAAAGAGUUCGUAGGUGGUUGAAAAAGUUGGUGGUGAAAUCCCAGAGCUUAACUCUGGAACUGCCAUCAAAACUUUUCAGCUAGAGUAUGAUAGAGGAAAGCAGAAUUUCUAGUGUAGAGGUGAAAUUCGUAGAUAUUAGAAAGAAUACCAAUUGCGAAGGCAGCUUUCUGGAUCAUUACUGACACUGAGGAACGAAAGCAUGGGUAGCGAAGAGGAUUAGAUACCCUCGUAGUCCAUGCCGUAAACGAUGUGUGUUAGACG